rnacentral:lncRNA from 1 species
AUGCACCUUCACAGGGUUUCUUCCACCUGUAGGCUGGAGGCAGCAUGGAUGUGCCUGGUAGUGCGGCCUUGUCUGGCGCGGCAGAGCCACAAUGGCACACUGCGAGUCCAUGCAAGCAGUGUGGACUUAGGGCCAUAUCAGUGCUGCACACAUAUCUGCACUGCUUCGGUCUGUUACUGCAUCAUCUUUGUGUCAUUAUUGUUUGUUGAUUGCUCGCUGGGUCUUGGGUGCAGGCCUUGCUCACACAGUAAGCCUGGACCAAAGUUAGUCUUCAUAUUCCAGAAGGCUUCGGUCAAGAUUGCAGUCUUCUUGUGCUGCACUUUUCACACCUACUGUAUGAAGGAACUCCUGGUUCAAAGAGUUUUCAGAAAAUACUUUGACUUUUAUUUUACUGUUGGACCACAGAAGUAUUAAAUGACUUGCCCAAGGUCAAAGAGAGUCUGCAGCAGGCUUUGGAAAUGAAUCAGGGUUGACUUAGUCCAAGUCAAAUGCUUUGGUUUGCAUGAAAUAGUCCCAGAGCAGGAAAUAUUAGCAGUUAGUGUAAACAUUAUAUAUGUCUGCUACAGAAACCUCACCUUUACAAACAAGAUUUUAUCUGAACACUUGAACUUGGAGGAAGUGGUGUGAAAUCCUUUGUAAUUUGCCCUCUUCCAGUAGUAAAAGGAGCGUCAGUCACAUCCAAAAGGCAGCUCAACUGCUAUUGAGGUGGGUGAGGUUGAGACGGACAGACCUGUGCCCCAGUGCACCUCACCAGGAGGUCAGGCACAGGGCAGUGCAGGAGCUAUGUUCAGCUGAGCUGACGAGAAGGCAUCUCUCGAAAAGAGAUGCCACAGAGCUGGUGUGCAGCUCUCGCAGGGUUAUAAUCCUUUCUCCUUCUGGUGGCUUUGCAUUGGAAUUAUUUUCUGUGUGUGUCCAGCGUGGGUGCUUUGUAGCAGGCAGCUUUCUGUCCGUGCUGCCCAAGUGUUUGUCCUGAGCGUGCAGCUCAGCAAGUGCAAUGGGAUGUCUGGCAGAAGUGUGGGGCUUAUUUGUUUUGGAACAGAGAAAUGUGGCAAUUUCAUACCCUGCAGUUCCUUCCUGACAACUCGUCCUCGCACAUCACAUUGCAGUGAGUGACAGCAACCAGAGGCUAUUCAUAAGGGUGGCAUCUCAGCAUGUAAUAAUCAUAAUUACAUGAAAUAAUAACUAUCUAAAGGGCAGCACAGUGAGUGACAAGCCAGAGAAUAUACCUUGACACCUGCCAAAGUUGUACUAAACACACAGAGAAAUUUUCCCCAGGAUCCUGUCACUUUGUCAACUAACAGAACCAGCCAGAGUUAAUA